UUUAACAUUAUAAUGUUGCUCACAUUCAAUUAAAACAAUUCUCUAUCAUUGGUUUUUGAAGGAUUACCAGAGGCAGUUGAGCAGAAGCAGUCUGAUUCAGUCCAGCCUCGGUUGCCCUUUAGCAGAGUGAUUUGCUUGCCUCUGUCUUGGAGGAGGAUCCCAGAAGAUGAGUGAUAUCUUUGGCCUAAUCCAGAAACAGCCUUAUAGCUAAGUGACCUGGCCGAUUCAUUCCAGUCACAGGCAAGACUAGUAAAGAGCAAACUCAGAAGUCAACUGACCUGCUUAAGACUGAUUGGUCCUCAGGCAAUUCUGCCACAAGCCAGCUCCACUUAGUAAUAAGGUGAUUUGUCCCUAGCCAACUCUACAUCAUGGAGAAUACCUGAGGUCAUACCUGAGAAGGAAAGGACAUUGAAGCCCUGCAGUUCUGGAGAACAGAGACCUUCAGAAUCCUGUUCACCCUUUCUGGAAACCAGAAUUCCUUUACUCCGGGUGGAGGAUUGCUGCCCCAGAUUGGGUGAUGUUGUACUGCCCUCUCCUGGCCCCUUUGGAUUUAAUCCUACAGACUAUAAAUGCCCAUUGACUGGCUUGGAAAAUGUGGUUUGCCAUGGGAGCUCUACAGAUUGGCUUAGGGCUGUUGUGAGUUCACCCUUGACUUUAUCUUUGAACAGGGAAAUUGUUUCUAUAGCUGGUUUUUUAAAGGCAACAUCUAACACUUACUUUUGUAACUAUGUGUCAAAUAGAAGUAGAAGAAGAAUGAGGGAUGACAGAGGGGAGAACAUAGUCAAAGUAGUAUGAAAAAGAUGUUAAGAUAUUUGAAAGGGGGCAGCUAGGUGACUCAGAGGGUCAGGCCUAAAGACAAGAUGUCCUGGGUUCAAAUUUGUCCUCAGAUACUUCCUAAUUGUGUGACCCUUGGCAAUCCACAAAUCCCAUUGCCCAGCACUUACUGUUCUUCUGCCUAGGAACUAAUUCAAAGUGUUGGUCCUAAGACAAAAAGUAAGGGUCAGCUUUUUGUUUUUUGUGGUGGUGGUGGUUUGGAUUAUUUUAGUAUUUGAAGCCCCAGUCUAUAUCCUAUAGGAACAAAGAGUUUUUAGUAAUAACUAAAGCCAUGACCAAGAACUAAAGUUCCUUUCUCUGGGGACAGUAAAGUGGUACAGUGGAGAG
rnacentral:lncRNA from 1 species